rnacentral:rRNA from 1 species
UACGUAGGGUGCAAGCGUUAAUCGGAAUUACUGGGCGUAAAGCGUGCGCAGGCGGCUUUGCAAGACAGAUGUGAAAUCCCCGGGCUUAACCUGGGAACUGCAUUUGUGACUGCAUGGCUAGAGUGCGGCAGGGGGGGAUGGAAUUCCGCGUGUAGCAGUGAAAUGCGUAGAUAUGCGGAGGAACACCGAUGGCGAAGGCAAUCCCCUGGGCCUGCACUGACGCUCAUGCACGAAAGCGUGGGGAGCAAACAGG